GGACAUAGUGGCGGACGGGUGAGUAACGCGUGAGAAUCUGGCUUCAGGUCUGGGACAACCACUGGAAACGGUGGCUAAUACCGGAUGUGCCGAAAGGUGAAAGGUUAACUGCCUGAAGAUGAGCUCGCGUCUGAUUAGCUAGUUGGAAGUGUAAUGGACUCCCAAGGCGACGAUCAGUAGCUGGUCUGAGAGGACGAUCAGCCACACUGGGACUGAGACACGGCCCAGACUCCUACGGGAGGCAGCAGUGGGGAAUUUUCCGCAAUGGGCGAAAGCCUGACGGAGCAAUACCGCGUGAGGGAGGAAGGCUCUUGGGUCGUAAACCUCUUUUCUCAGGGAAGAACACAAUGACGGUACCUGAGGAAUAAGCAUCGGCUAACUCCGUGCCAGCAGCCGCGGUAAUACGGAGGAUGCAAGCGUUAUCCGGAAUGAUUGGGCGUAAAGCGUCCGCAGGUGGCAAUGUAAGUCUGCUGUUAAAGAGUCUAGCUCAACUAGAUAAGAGCAGUGGAAACUACAUAGCUAGAGUACGUUCGGGGCAGAGGGAAUUCCUGGUGUAGCGGUGAAAUGCGUAGAGAUCAGGAAGAACACCAGUGGCGAAGGCGCUCUGCUAGGCCGUAACUGACACUGAGGGACGAAAGCUAGGGGAGCGAAUGGGAUUAGAUACCCCAGUAGUCCUAGCCGUAAACGAUGGAUACUAGGCGUG
rnacentral:rRNA from 1 species